rnacentral:rRNA from 1 species
CAGCCGCCGCGGGAAUACGUAGGGUGCGAGCGUUAAUCGGAAUUACUGGGCGUAAAGCGUGCGCAGGCGGUUGUGUAAGACAGGUGUGAAAUCCCCGGGCUUAACCUGGGAACUGCGCUUGUGACUGCACAGCUAGAGUAUGGCAGAGGGGGGUGGAAUUCCACGUGUAGCAGUGAAAUGCGUAGAGAUGUGGAGGAACACCGAUGGCGAAGGCAGCCCCUGGGCCAAUACUGACGCUCAUGCACGAAAGCGUGGGGAGCAAACAGGAUUAGAUACCCCCGUAGUCCCUGUCUCUUAUACA